rnacentral:rRNA from 1 species
UACGGGGGGGGGCAAGCGUUGUUCGGAAUUACUGGGCGUAAAGGGCUCGUAGGCGGCCAACUAAGUCAUACGUGAAAUCCCUCGGCUUAACCGGGGAACUGCGUCUGAUACUGGAUGGCUUGAGUUCGGGAGAGGGAUGCGGAAUUCCAGGUGUAGCGGUGAAAUGCGCAGAUAUCAGGAGGAACACCGGUGGCGAAGGCGGGUCUCUGGGGCCGAUACUGACGCUGAGGAGCGAAAAGCGUGGGGGAGCGAUCCGG